AAGCAGGACGAAGUCGUACUCGUAGCGCAUGAUCUCGCCGGGACGGUUGAUAAAGUCGCCGAUCUUGGUUUGCUCCAUGAUGAGGGCUUCGCUGUCCCCAUCCAUGGAC
rnacentral:misc_RNA from 1 species